ACAAAUUUUAUUUACUGUCAUUUUGCCCCGAUAUUUAUCAAUAAUGAUGAAUUUUGCAAGCAAUAACAUUAUUUCUUUUAUUGUUUUAGAUAUUUAUUGAAGCUGAAAAUAAUUGGGGAUUUAGAUCCAUACGCAAUUCAGUCAGAAUUGGAUUUUACAGUAAAGUGCAGACCAUCAAGUUACUAUUAUAGAUAUUUAUACAUAUCUGGUGGAAUCUCGCAGUUGCUACUCUAAGCAGCAGAUGAAAGCAUACAAAAACCUUCAGGCACAUAAAUAUUUUACAGCUGGAUUUGUUUUGAAUGGAGUAAAAAUUGGUAAUGAUUUCCUGAUUUCCAUAUUAUUGUUGGAAAGGUGAAGCAUUUCCAAAAAUCUAAUGCUAAACGACUAAAUGCUUGGGUGGGGUGAUAGCCAGUUCUGAUGACAUAGCAAAUGCAGAUUGUAUACAUAUGGCCGGUAAUAGUGAAGUCUGCAGCAAUCCUAUUUUUAGCUGAGUAUGCCCAGGGCAAGACAGACGAAGAAGAACCCAAUGUUACAGCUACAUGGUUUGGAGAUAGCAACAUAUGCAUUCUCUGAUGAAAAACUAAUGAGUUUUGAAACUGUUCACUUCUUCAUCAUGAGUAAUUAUGUAUUGGUCUUUUAAAUGUGUAUUUAUUUUUGUAAUUAGUAUCAACUUGUAAUGAUACUAUACAUUUAUCGUUUAAGGUAUGACUAUGUUUUGACUCUAAAAUAAAUGAUUUAAAAAUCGAAUCCUGCCUCUUUCUGUUAGUAACUACCCAUGGAUAUCACAAAUAGUGAUUACUGAUAGGUUUGUUCGUAGAAUGAUCAGCAACUCUUGCCAACCAUCAGACACAUGCGCAUUCGUAGUCUAUGAAUGCUAACUAUUAACUGCUCAUGCAUCUGAUGGUUGGCAGCAGUUGCUAAUCGUUUGUGUCGUACUACGAACAAACCUAUUAGGUCUGGAUCCCAUGUACCAAAAAAAUUGAUUAAUAGCAAGCUGAAAAUUUGUUAAUAGCUUAACGGUGUCCAGUUGGACAAACUUUGAUGUAUUGUGACACUGGAACAGGGAUAGUUUUAAUUGUGAAACAGUUUGGAAACUCAGAUUUGGAACAUCAGAUUACAAAAACAUCCCAUAUAUUUUGUCGGACAGAACAUCCAAUUGAUUUGUUAUCCUUUCAUUAAAUUCUCAUGCAAAAAUCAGACUGCUAUUACUAACCAACAUGAUUCCUGUAAUUUGACAUGGUCUUCGUGUUCUACUCAUUAAAAUGCCCAGUUGGUGAUUUUUUCACCAGUCUGGUUUUUGCAUGAGAGUUUAAUGAAUUGGUAGCAAAUCAAUUGGAAGUUUUAUCUGACAAAUUACAUAAACAUUUUCGUAGUUUGACGUUCCAAAUUUUUAACCUGUUCCACAGUUAAAACUUCCAGUGUUCCCGUACAUCAAAGUUUGUCGGACUAGACACCGUUAAGCUAUUAAUAAAUUUUCAGCUUGCUAUUAAUCAACUUUUUUUUGGUACGCGGGAUCCAGGUCUAUAUGGAAUAAAUAAAUAACAAAACAAAUUCCCUGUCAAAACUGCAUUUAUUUUGAAUAGAAUGAAAAACAAAAUAAUAUUGUUUCAACAAAAUAGGGGAUAAAUGUUAAAAUUUAGUAUUAAUAAAGUUUGUCACAUUGGCCUAAACAUUAAUGUCACUAGUUACGUUAGGGUCACAUAUAAAUAAUUGUAAUAAUAUUAAUAAAAACCUUAAAUCCUAGCAUGAGUGCGUCCUGUUUUUUGAUAAUUUAGUUAGGCGAGGAAACAAAUGAGUUUCUAAUAAGGCUUUUCAUCGAUUGUCAUUUGUUUCGAGCUUCUGUUAGAUGUUGUAUAAUCCGUGUAUAAUAUUACUAUACACGGAUUAUAUGACAUAUAACAGAAGCUCAAACAAAUGACUGUGAAUGAAAAGCCCUAUAGAGGGAACACGAAAAAAAUUAACAUUAACCGAUCAGCUCGACUUCCACACUUCACUACUAUACAAGUUACAGGCAUGUUUUCAGCACUUAAAAAAAUCACCAAAAACGAAAAGUUUAUAAAAUAAUCAAUCUAAUGAAUGUCUUUAAAUACUAUAUUAAGCUCAAAAUCACGACAAAAAACAAAUUAAAAUUAACAUUAUUCUGAUCAGUUGGACUUCCACAGUUCACUACUAUACAAGUCACAGGCAUGUUGUCAGCACUCAAAAUCACCAAAAACGUAAAGUUUAUAAAAUAAUUAAUCUAAUGAAUGCCUUUAAAUACUAUAUUAAGCUCAAAAUCACGACAAAAAACAAAUUAAAAUUAACAUUAUUCUGAUCAGUUGGACUUCCACAGUUCACUAUUAUACAAGUGGCAGGCAUGUUGUCAGCACUCAAAAUCACCAAAAACGUAAAGUUUAUAAAAUAAUUAAUCUAAUGAAUGUCUUUAAAUACUAUAUUAGCUCAAAAUCAGGACAAAAAACAAAUUAAAAUUAACAUUAUCCCGAUCAGUUGGACUUCCACAGUUCACUACUAUACAAGUCACAGGCAUGUUGUCAGCACUUAAAAUCACCAAAAACGUAAAGUUUAUAAAAUAAUUAAUCUAAUGAAUGUCUUUAAAUACUAUACUACCUCAAAAUCACGACAAAAAACAAAUAAGAAAAAUCAAUAAUUACAUUGAGUUUAGGUUAGGAACAGUUUUGUGUGCCAACCAAAGAUCACGUGGUUUAUCUUUGACAGGUCGAUGGAUUGCCUAAUCUGUCACAUACCAAGUUUUUGGUUACAAUUUUAGAAUUGAUGAUUUUUAUACCUUUUGAAGAACAACUAAAAAUCAAAUUUAUUUUAAUAUUUUUCUUUUCAAUACAUCAUUCUAUAAAUUCAUUACAUUUCUCGUUCGUGGACGUAAUUUUCUUGUCCAUGCACAAUAGGCUCAUUACCACAUACUAAUGGGGCAAUGUAAUAAAAUGAUUUUAUGUAUGUUGAAAAUGUAUUUUAAAAACUCAUUUACGAUAUAUUACACUAUAGAUUAAAUGAGUGAUAUUGUUUUUUAUUUUGAAACAUUUUGAUUACCACUGCCCCCUUUCUAAUUUUAUAACAGGUCCCAUGUUGUUAUACGAACGACCAUAGAUGUUAGUUACAUAAUAUAGUAACUAGCAAUUGACAUUUAUCCAUUUUCUAAAUAUACACACGUUGCGUCUCUUUUGUCUUUUGCAUUAUAGAGAAAUAUAGAGACACUGCUAAACAAAUGUGCUAAAAAUUAAUCUCAAUAUUUAAUUAACCUAAACACAAAAUGAAAUACGUAUAGUGUUGUAGCUACAACGAAUUGUCAAUGUUCAUAAGUUUGUUUUCGAUCUUGAACAUUUUUGGAUGAUAAUGUUCUAAGAAAAUUAUCUCAACGAGAAUCCCUCGACUGAGUUGGUUUGUUUGGGACAAUGAAGCUUCACAGCAGUCCACAAUUUUCUUUGGUAUGUGGAAUUCAAACGCACUCACUCUGAAAAGUGUCAACGGGUGCAUAUUCAUGAUGCACAUUCGUCAUACGAUUGGCCCCGCACUCGCACUGAGGACGGCCCAGACCGUUUGUAUGUGCGUUCUCACUUUAUUGUUCGCGCAGGCAAUGGGAACUUUCAGCUAUGUUUGGCGUACUGUACGUCGGACGACAUCAGCGGCUGGACAGCUGAGUAAGCGGUAGCGUUCAGACGACACCGUUGGAAGUCAACGGCUGUGGGAUUUAUUAAGUUUUCCCUAUUGCCUCUGGAUACAACCACUAAGGCGGUUUGUGCUUACAUUCAGCCGCUGACGUCGUCCGAACGCACCAAAUGUUGUGCUUAACUUAAACUUUAGCAUUAUGCUGAACUUAAACACUGUGCUUAAGCUAUGAAGAUUGACAAGUAACAUAUAACGAAAUUGAGGAAUCAUUGAGGGUUUUAAAGACCUCAAUUCAAAAAUUUUGCAAGAAUUGUGUGAUAAAAACCAGAAGCAACUAGUGUGAAUUUGUAUCAAAAAAACUCUAACGACUGCUUCAACUUAGGAAAAUCAUAAAAGUUUUAUCCAUCAGAAGAUGUAUUCGAAGUCUACAAAAACGACAUUAAAAAAAUCUUAAAUAAUUUUCCAUACUGUUUCAUUUCACCUCUAUUUGCAAAAUAAAAAAGACGCCCUGCGUAUUUCCAUUUCUUAAAAUUCCGUUGAGACUUACCCAUUUUAAAUAUAUAUAUUGUAGUGGCAAGUGGGUAAAGUGGGUCCAUUUUACAUAACGAGCAAUCCACAAUUAUUGGGAUCAAAGCUAGCCGUGCAAAAAAUUACGUAUGUCUUGGUUUAAUCUGAAUUUAUAUCAUUGGUUUAUCAAUUAAUUUUGAUUAACAUUAUAAAACAUAAAAAAUCAGUCAAAACCUUUAACACAGAACUUUUUUCAAAAAUAAAAAGAAGUAACAAAAUUAUAAGUAACAAUAAUAAAUAAAAUCAAACAAGAUGCUGUAUUAUGUCCGCCACCAACAUCUCUACAUAACCUAACUUUUCUUGUUAAGUUGACGUACACUGCAAAGUUAACGUAAACUGGAAAGUAUAUCUGAAUUAAGAAUAGACAUGCGCUGUAUAGCUAUCACUGACAAUAAUUUUGGAUCACACGUUAAUAUAUAAAUAUUUUACUGUAAUCAUGACUAACAGGAUGUACAUAUUAUGCGUGUGAUUUGUAAUUUUCUCUAGGACUUCCACCUCAAUUUAUCAAAAAAAAUUGUUUUGUUUUCAGAAAAUGUAAAUACUCUCGAAAUGUUUAUCAAGCAAAAAGAAAUUUGUAACAAAUAAACACACCAAAAAUAAAUGUCUUGCUAACACGA
rnacentral:lncRNA from 1 species